rnacentral:piRNA from 1 species
UGUUCAUGGGAAUNCCCUUAUAGAUGCGAUC